UAACUGCUUAGUUGUUUCGGUUCGUGCAGCUUUCACAGAAUGCUCACACUUUGGCAUAUUAUUGAAGUUCUUGUCCUAUCCAACAUAAAAAAACUAGCCGGGUAGCCAUUGGGUCCAGGGGCCUUGUUCCCAUUAAUAGACAGGAAAAACUGUCUUGCUUGAAAAACAGCAUGAUAAUGUGAUUUCCUAACAAAUCCAAAGCUAAAAGUUCAACCUUUGAGCUAAUUUCCUAACCCCAAUAAAAAUAAAAACUACCUACCUAAAUCAGGACUAUGGAAAAAAGCAUUUGUAAGACCCUUUUUGUUAAGUUAGUUUGAGAAACAAUGAUUAAGUAGUCAUGGCUGUCAUUGAAUUCCUUCUUGACAAAAACAGAGCUCUAGAAUUUAAGAAAAUAAAAUAGUUCAAAACAUGGUCCUAGCCAUGUACACACACAGAUUUAUCAGACACCAUGAAGUCAAUGGAGAUGAAGAGAAACAAUGUGCUAGCCACAAAACAAAAAGGACAACUAACUUUAAACUAAAAAAUGAGAAAGGGAAACAAAUAAAAAUAUGAGAUAUUAAAAAAUAUUUGCAGCUACUUGAACUAGUAAAUAUGAAACUGCAAAAACUCCAUCAUAUUAACUUCAAAUAUUUCAUUUCCCCUUUUACAUUGAUAAAUUAUAUAACCUAUCAAUUUGACAGAAUAGAACCUCAACGACAUUUCAGCUACACACUCCACUCACAUUAAUGGUUCUCAUAAGUACAGUGUGUUUCACCCAUUAAUCCCAAAAAAAACAAAACUGUGCAUUUGACAAAGAACUUGAACAACCAGCAAUUCACACAAAUAAAUAACCCAGAAAACUCAAAAUCAUCACAAUUCUACCAACAACCAAAAAAAGAAAAAAAAAAACAAAAACAAAAG